GAUGAACGCUGGCGGCGUGCCUAAUACAUGCAAGUCGAGCGAACGGACGAGAAGCUUGCUUCUCUGAUGUUAGCGGCGGACGGGUGAGUAACACGUGGAUAACCUACCUAUAAGACUGGGAUAACUUCGGGAAACCGGAGCUAAUACCGGAUAAUAUUUUGAACCGCAUGGUUCAAAAGUGAAAGGCGGUCUUGCUGUCACUUAUAGAUGGAUCCGCGCUGCAUUAGCUAGUUGGUAAGGUAACGGCUUACCAAGGCAACGAUGCAUAGCCGACCUGAGAGGGUGAUCGGCCACACUGGAACUGAGACACGGUCCAGACUCCUACGGGAGGCAGCAGUAGGGAAUCCUCCGCAAUGGGCGAAAGCCUGACGGAGCAACGCCGCGUGAGUGAUGAAGGUCUUCGGAUCGUAAAACUCUGUUAUUAGGGAAGAACAUAUGUGUAAGUAACUGUGCACAUCUUGACGGUACCUAAUCAGAAAGCCACGGCUAACUACGUG
rnacentral:rRNA from 1 species